rfam:Verrucomicrobiaceae bacterium TMED137 27975, whole genome shotgun sequence.
GGGGGCGUUCUGGUUUCGACUGGAUGCUUGAAACGCUGGCUGCAUGUAGAGGUUGAUCGGUUGGCCUCUUUAAAAAGCCGUUCAAAACAAAUAAUUGCAGACUCUAACGAGCUCGCACUUGCUGCUUAAUUGACAGUAACGUCCCAAUCCUUACGCCUAUUACGGGGCGGGGCGACUACUUAAUAGGCUGGCUUCUAAGCCGGGGAUCCGGGCGAGGGAGCGAGAUUCAACAGGAUUAUCGGAUCAGUGAACGGGCCGGGUGAGGCUCAUCGAUCUUAAAGCAGCAAACGCCCGGCUAAACUUGUAGAUGCCUUCGUGAAAGGUUUUCAGGACAGGGGUUCGACUCCCCUCGCCUCCACUU